rnacentral:lncRNA from 1 species
AUAUAUACACAUAAAAUAUUAAAAAAUAUAAAAUUCGGGUACUCAGAUUAAAACCCGAUCCGAACUCAAACCCAGACCGAUUGCAUCCGGGCAGGGUCCGGUCAUGGCAAUACCCGGACCCGGCCUGGGGUUUUGCCAUCUCUAACUGUAAUCACGGCGUUGUAUGAUGACAAACACGAUGGUGAUACGCGUCAGAAUCUUAGUGGCGUUGAGGUACCAAACCUUCGGCGAUGAUGAAGGCCAUUGUCGUCAUGGAGAAUUUUCACGCGGCGGUACGGAAAAGGGAUGUCAAGGACAACAUAAAAACGACAGCGUUGUGGUGGGCAUCAUUAAUCGUAUCACUCUUAUUAUUAUAUUGCAUUGAAUGAAUGAAAAGCUGUCGAGAAACGGCUAGAGUCCUAUGGAAAAAGGAAUUUACCAAUUUUUUUUAAUAUAUCUUUCAAAAAAGAUUUUAUAUAU